rnacentral:rRNA from 1 species
GUAGGGAAUCUUCGGCAAUGGACGAAAGUCUGACCGAGCAACGCCGCGUGAGUGAAGAAGGUUUUCGGAUCGUAAAACUCUGUUGGUAGAGAAGAACAAGGGUGAGAGUAACUGUUCACCCCUUGACGGUAUCUAACCAGAAAGCCACGGCUAACUACGUGCCAU